rnacentral:pre_miRNA from 1 species
CGCUUUCAUCGGUGACUUUAGUGUGAACUGCAACUAAGGCACGCGGUGAAUGCCA